rnacentral:rRNA from 1 species
AGUGAACGCUGGCGGCAGGCCUAACACAUGCAAGUCGAACGGCAGCACAGGGGAGCUUGCUCCCUGGGUGGCGAGUGGCGGACGGGUGAGGAAUACAUCGGAAUCUACCCAGUCGUGGGGGUAUAACGUAGGGAAAACUUACGCUAAUACCGCAUACGACCUGAGGGUGAAAAGCAGGGGACCGCAAGGCCUUGCGCGAUUGGAUGAGCCGAUGUCGGAUUAGCUAGUUGGUGGGGUAAAGGCCCACCAAGGCGACGAUCCGUAGCUGGUCUGAGAGGAUGAUCAGCCACACUGGAACUGAGACACGGUCCAGACUCCUACGGGAGGCAGCAGUGGGGGAAACUAUCGGACAAUGGGCGCAAGCCUGAUCCAGCCAUGCCGCGUGUGUGAAGAAGGCCUCGGUUGUAAGCACUUUGUGGGUAAGGAAAAUCCUGUUGGUUAAUACCCGGCGGGAAUGACGGUACCAAAGAAUAAGCACCGGCUAACUUCGUGCCAGCAGCCGCGGUAAUACGAAGGGUGCAAGCGUUACUCGGAAUUACUGGGCGUAAAGCGUGCGUAGGUGGUUCGUUAAGUCUGCCGUGAAAGCCCCGGGCUCAACCUGGGAAUGGCGGUGGAUACUGGCGGACUAGAGUGCGGUAGAGGGUGGUGGAAUUCCCGGUGUAGCAGUGAAAUGCGUAGAGAUCGGAGGAACAUCUGUGGCGAAGGCGGCCACCUGGACCAGCACUGACACUGAGGCACGAAAGCGUGGGGAGCAAACAGGUUAGAUACCCUGGUAG